UCAGUUUACCGGCGCUGUGGUUAGGUCGUGAUCAAGAAGGCGACUGCACUGGAACAAUGCUUGGCCCUUGCACUUUCGGCUUAGAUUGACUUCUACGAUUGUUCCGAAUAUAAGGAAUAUUUCGCGCGUUAAAUUUUUGUUAGCCGGGAAUGGCGUACGCGCCGUCCCGAC